rnacentral:lncRNA from 1 species
UCAAAGCUGAAGCCACCACCCCCAAGACCUUUGAAUGGUUCUAUCACGCAGGCGAUCACUCAACCUAGCACGUAGCCUUCACCUACCAUGCAGUCUGCACUAGCCACUUUGCCAACAGAAACAAGUAGUUCUAUAAUUGUUAUUUAACUCUUACUUCAACUUUUUUUCUUAUUGACAUUUAUUGCUUUAACACUUGCAGCAUUCCCAAUCGAGUGUAAGCGAUGUGGUCGUACUUGUGGCUUAGACACAUCCCAGAUAGUCAAGGCCACUCAUAGGAAGCUGGAAAUCAUGUAUGAAGAUAGCAAUGGAAGACCAUCUAGUCCUAAUGCUAGUCUAUUUGUAUCUGAAAUAGGAUCUGGUGUGAGAAUAUUUGCACCUCUCCAAAAGAUCUUUUAAAAAGAUGUGUCUGAAUUUGAAAAAUUCCCUAUUUAUGACAAAGUGGAGGUAACAUUAUUGUUUUAACUUGUUUUGUUUCUUGUCCUAGUACAACUUGUACGCAUCUUUUUCUUUCUUUAAACAUUUCAUUGCUGAAGAAAGGAAUAAAGUUAAUAACAAGUUAGUAUACCAGGUAUCAAAUUGACAGGUUCUCUAAAUGAUUAGAAGUCAAUAUCUUAAUUAAAAAUAUUGGAUGUUUGCAUAUGUUCAUUGACAUGUAUGCAUAUCUUGAAUGAUCUGAAUUGCUGGCACUUUGAUUUUGGUUGCUUGGAGUAGCAACUUCAUCCAAUAUAUUUGUGUGAAUUUUGUGCUCGUCAUUGUGUUUUCACUCAUGGUAUGUUGCUAUAUAUAGGCUAUUUUUGAUGUACAAUAUGAUAAAUAUGCAACUCUCAAAGAGAUCAUGGAGAAAUCAAUGGCCACUUCCUCUAAGGAGUUUUGAUAUGAGCUGCACACACAUCACAAGAAGUUUCUGGACCAACCAAUGGCUCAUAGGAAAGCUAAUAAGCCUAAAGAAAUCUGACAUGAGGUUGAUUGGGAUUAUUUGAGUAACUAUUAGGAAAGUGCGAUUUUAGGUGCAUUUAUAUAUAGUAUGACUUCCAUUUAUGUUCAAUGGUUAACUUAUUUAGUUCAUUGACUUUCUUUGUUCUGUUAAUUGGACAUUACAAAAAAAGACCAAGGUAGCAAUUGACAAUAGAUCCCGACAAGAAUUUACCCAUUUUUCUUGUUCUAGAUCAUGUAUUCAAUGUCAGGCUAUGUGGGUAAGUAAGAAGGAAUAUAUUCAUCUCUAUUAGGAAACAAUUUCAAUUCAAUUCAAUUUUAUUCUUAUUUCUUCUAAUAGGAUAAUGAAACUGGACGACCAGACAAAAUUCAACUACGGAAGAACACACAUUACAAGGAUACAAAAGGCUAGAUCCAUCCUGUGGUUGAGGAGAAACAUGUAAUAA